rnacentral:sRNA from 1 species
CAGUGUUCCUCAUCCCAGUUUUGUCCUCCUUUUGGUUCCAUGAUGGAAAGCAGCCCCAUUCCAGAGGAGAAACAAGUUCAGCUCAGCUGGGAGUACAGGCUGCCCCUCUUCUUUGAUCCACAAGAGCCUCUGACUUCUCUGACUCCUGUUUCUGUAGGCUAUGAGAUCACCUUCAGUUUACUCAACCCAGACCCCAAGUCCCAUGAUGUCCACUGGGACAUUGAGGGGGCUGUCCGGCGCUAUGUGCAACCUUUCCUGAAUGCCCUCAGUGCCGCUGGCAACUUCUCUGUGGACUCUCAGAUUCUUUACUAUGCAAUGUUGGGGGUGAAUCCCCGCUUUGACUCAGCUUCCUCCAGCUACUAUUUGGACAUGCACAGCCUCCCCCAUGUCAUCAACCCAGUGGAGUCCCGGCUGGGAUCCAGUGCUGCCUCCUUGUACCCUGUGCUCAACUUUCUGCUCUACGUGCCUGAGCUUGCACACUCACCGCUGUACAUUCAGGACAAGGAUGGCGCUCCAGUGGCCACCAAUGCCUUCCAUAGUCCCCGCUGGGGUGGCAUUAUGGUAAUAGUCACACUACGCAGACCCCAGAGCCCAUGCUUCUGGGACAGGCAGGUGUCCCUGAAACUGUGUUCCUUCUGUUUUCCUUCUGGUGUCCUCCAUGGCCCAGCCUGUGGGAGGGGCAGGCACCAGGAAGGUGAGGGUGCUAUGUGCUCAUGCCCCUCUUCUGCCGGCCCCACUUUUGUUUCCGCCAGUGUUUUCUAUACUGUGACCCUUUGCCCUUACCUAGGAUCAUUCUGUGUCCAUCUUAGAUCUUCGCCUUAUUUGUGGGAGUCUUGCAAGGUUGGGAGCCUUGUCUCCCUUGUUAGACUGGAAGUUUCUCAUGGGGGAGAAUUCUAAAAUGGGAUAAGAAAAAAAUAUG